AAAAUGAAAUUUUCUAUAGCACAUUUUGUAAGUAUUAUUUAAGGAGAAAUCAAAACGGGUAGGGUUUUCCUGUGAAGUAUCCUGUCUCUGCUAUCGAUCUCGAUUCCGCCCGACUUUCGAUGUGUGAUGAAACGGCAAGCUUAGGCAGCUGUACUCUGCCGGGAGAUGCAAUGGUGGAAAUCCUGUUGCGGCUUCCCGUCAAGUCAUUGCUGCGAUUCCGAGCGGUUUCCAAAUCAUGGUAUGGUUUCCUAAGUAGCCCUGAUUUUAUUCAAAUGCAUCUCCGUCACGGUCAACAACCCCUCCAUGAAAAGCUCCUCAGAGUGAGCGAUCGGGGUCCUAGAGACACCCCUACUAUUUCCUUCUUCUCCGUUGAUCGUACUGUUACUGUUAAUGCUGAUGAUGAUAUUGACGACGGGGUUGAUGUUUAUAAAAAUAAUAAUGAUCUGUAUCCAUCUUCUGUUGUUGAUUUGCCGUUUCCGUCUAGUCCAGAUGAUGAGGUUCGGAUUGUGGGUUCUUGCAAUGGCUUGUUGUGUGUUCAUUUUAAUAGGACUUCCAACAUUAUCUUGUGGAACCCUGCUACUAGUAAGUAUAGAUUCCUUGAAUCCCCCGAUAAUUCUGUAUCCUUUUAUUGUGAUCCUUUCUUCCCUUAUAUAAUGCUUGGUUUUGUCCCCGAGACUGACGAUUUUAAGGUUGUCAAGGUUCCAUCAUCCAGUAGGAAACACAAUAUUGAUGCUAAGGUUUGGGUUUACACCCUGAGUUCAGAUUCUUGGGAAGAGAUGGGAGCUGUUAAUCUGCUGCCCAAGGGUGGGUCUGCAGUUAACCUUAAUGGGUGCUUGUAUUGGAUGUCAUAUAAUAAUAGUGAUAACGGACGGGAUAUUGUUACUUCUUUUGAUUUGUAUAAACAAGUCUUUGGACAAAUUAUGGUCCCCAAUUCAGAAUCUAUUACUGACUUUACUGUCAAGAAGCUUGUGGUACUGAAUGGUUGUCUUUCUAUGAUAAUCUAUUCUGAGAAUGGUUUAAAUGUUGACCAUUACGAGGUAUGGAUGAUGAAUGAACAACAAGGUGUAUCUUGGACUAAGCGAGUUGAUUUUUCACUCUUCUCUAAGCUAGCACGACCUGUUGGAUCAUGGAGGGACAGCGAAAUUCUUUUUGGCUACCCAAAUGGGUUGUCACAUGAAUUGUUAUCGUACAAUCCUUUUACUAAAAGAGCUCAGAGCUUUCAAAGGAGAAGUUCAGUGGGUGGGUUUAAAGUCAUAAAUUAUGUCGAAAGCCUAGAAUCUGUGGAGGGUAGUUAAGUGGACUCUAGAGAUUUGAGGUCUGAUAUUGCAGGUGUUGUUGCGGUUUCUUUCUUUAUGCUAAUCAUAUUUUGAGCUUUUUAGUUUCAACUCUUCCUAUCACACGAUGUAUUUCAAUAUUGUGCUUAUGUUUACUCUACCAUCUUUUUUUUGCAGUUUCAGUUGGCAUGGUAUAAAGUAAUGAUUAACUACCCUUGUUUAUCUAGCAGCUCACCAUAAGUUUUAGCAUGCUUGUGGAUGUCCAUUGAAGCUUUUUCUCAAAGGUGACACUUAUAAAGGUAGAUACUAGGUGAAUUGUUGGGUGAAUUGUGAAACUGGAGAAUGUAGAGUUUCACUAAAUCCUGGAUAAACACAAAAAAUUAAGAAGCUCUAGUGGAUCAGUAAACAGAAUUUUUUUUUAACUCUCUUAAUGUUUCCUACAUAUAGCUUUUAACAUUGUUUCCUUAGUAUUUUUCACAUUGUUUCCUGUGGUUUGACUUUCCGACUAUGUUGCGCGGACUCUUCAUUUUAGGCGCCGCACCCGUGUCGGCACAACACUAGUACAUGUAAGGGUGUGGGAUUUGUACAGGGUGUGGUCAAUCGAAAUCGACUACUUUGACCACAAUCCAUCGACAAAUUUGAGGAAAAACUGAAUUUUGAUUUCUCAAGAUAAAAGCCAGUACAGGUUUGAAGCCAUGAGAAAUGGCAUGCCUUCAAUAUUCUACUGCUGCGAGAUUAUAAAGGAUCUGAACUCUGGAUCUGCACCUUGAUCGGAUACCCGCACCGAGUCCGAGCAACUUAGCUUUCCGAAGCAAAUUAGCCAUCUCCAUAGCAAGAUUUGACAUAGAAUGAAGAACUCAUAGAGCACCAUAUGGACACAUAGUUCGAUGGAUAGAAAAAGAGAGUAAGAGAUGAUAAUUUUGAGUAUAAUUCUUGUAUUUCCUACAAAAGCUACAAUAUUGUGUAUGUACAAUACGAGGUCAACUAUAUUUUUUUAUGGAGUAGAACUCCAAAUUAGCAGGAGAGAAUAUUUAAGAGAGCUCCUUGAUCUAAUCCUGCACCUAAAUGCCCCUCCCAGUCUGUUUUUGAAGCUGUCAAGUUGAGCCUCAAAAGUUUCGAGCCUGGUUUCUAUGUUUGUGCUUUCUUCUUGGCCUUCACGUGACACGUGCUAUUUUUCCCUUGGACACCAAUCUUGAAACCAAUGACCAUUUAGAUGGCUUGGGCUUCAAAAGUGGCAAAGACCAGAACUGCAAAAGCAUUUGAAAAAUCAAACUGCACACUGCAUUGGCUUCCGUUAUGGCUUUGAUCCCAGCUGUGGUGUCCUGAUUUUCAUCCAGAACAACUGAUAUUACAAUCUCCUGAUUCUUUUACUUCAAAGCAGAGACUAAUGUUUUGACAUGCUUCUUCAUCUUCUUGCUGAAAGAAGUGAAUCUGCAGUGCCGGAUUCUGUACUCAAAUCUCCUUUUCUCAUUCUGAGAUAGGAUUGUAGAUCUCUUACGUUUUCUUUACACUGGGAGACAGGUUCCUUUGUGGUGUAACAAACAUCUAGUAGCCUCACCGACUUGUCCAAUAAAUCUUCGACCAAUUUCUCAUGUUUACAGUGAGAGAGGGCUUGAAAGGUUAGAUGCAAGUUGAGAUCAUUUAUGUACUUGUAUAAUUCCUUCAAACCAAGUAGGCUAUUGCAAAUUGUCUCAGCAGUUGGUGCAACUGCUGUUUCCAAUGUUUUGAGCUUGUUGAGCUCCUCUUCCACUCUUAGAGUGCUUGAAUGUGAAACUUGAUGACGAACUGAUUGAACGAA